AUACGGAGGGUGCAAGCGUUAAUCGGAAUUACUGGGCGUAAAGCGCACGCAGGCGGUUUGUUAAGUCAGAUGUGAAAUCCCCGGGCUCAACCUGGGAACUGCAUCUGAUACUGGCAAGCUUGAGUCUCGUAGAGGGGGGUAGAAUUCCAGGUGUAGCGGUGAAAUGCGUAGAGAUCUGGAGGAAUACCGGGGGCGAAGGCGGCCCCCUGGACGAAGACGGACGCUCAGGUGCGAAAGCGUGGGGAGCAAACAGGAUUAGAUACCCUGGUAGUCCACGCCGUAAACGAUGUCGACUGGGAGGUUGUGCCCUUGAGGCGUGGCUUCCGGAGCUAACGCGUUAAGUCGACCGCCUGGGGAGUACGGCCGCAAGGUUAAAACUCAAAGGAAUUGACGGGG
rnacentral:rRNA from 1 species